rnacentral:rRNA from 1 species
AUACGGAGGUUGCAAGCGUUACUCGGAAUCACUGGGCGUAAAGCGCGCGCAGGCGGUCUUUUAAGUUGGAUGUGAAAGCCUACGGCUCAACCGUAGAACUGCAUCCAAAACUAUUAGACUAGAGUGUGGGAGAGGAAGAUGGAAUUAGUUGUGUAGGGGUAAAAUCCGUAGAGAUAACUAGGAAUACCAAAAGCGAAGGCAAUCUUCUGGAACACUACUGACGCUGAGGCGCGAAAGCGUGGGGAGCAAACAGGAUUAGAAACCCUAGUAGUCC